rnacentral:rRNA from 1 species
AGGGGUAGAGGAGAGCUUGCUUUCCUUGAGACCGGCGCACGGGUGCGUAACGCGUAUGCAACCUACCCUUUUCUGGGGGAUAGCCCGAAGAAAUUCGGAUUAAUACCGCAUAAGACCACGACACGGCAUCGUGACGGGGUCAAACAUUUAUGGGAGAAGGAUGGGCAUGCGUGCCAUUAGCUAGUUGGCGGGGUAACGGCCCACCAAGGCUACGAUGGCUAGGGGAUCUGAGAGGAUGGCCCCCCACACUGGUACUGAGACACGGACCAGACUCCUACGGGAGGCAGCAGUAAGGAAUAUUGGUCAAUGGGCGCAAGCCUGAACCAGCCAUGCCGCGUGCAGGAAGACGGCCCUCCGGGUUGUAAACUGCUUUUGUACGGGAAUAAACCUCCGAUCGUGAUCGGAGCUGAAUGUACCGUAAGAAUAAGGAUCGGCUAACUCCGUGCCAGCAGCCGCGGUAAUACGGAGGAUCCAAGCGUUAUCCGGAUUUAUUGGGUUUAAAGGGUGCGUAGGCGGCCUGUUAAGUCAGGGGUGAAAGACGGUGGCUCAACCAUCGCAGUGCCCUUGAUACUGAUGGGCUUGAAUGGACUAGAGGUAGGCGGAAUGUGACAAGUAGCGGUGAAAUGCAUAGAUAUGUCACAGAACACCGAUUGCGAAGGCAGCUUACUAUGGUCCUAUUGACGCUGAGGCACGAAAGCGUGGGGAUCGAACAGGAUUAGAUACCCUGGUAGUCCACGCCCUAAACGAUGAACACUCGCUGUUGGCGAUACACGGUCAGCGGCUAAGCGAAAGCGUUAAGUGUUCCACCUGGGGAGUACGCCCCGCAAGGGUGAAACUCAAAGGAAUUGACGGGGGCCCGCACAAGCGGAGGAGCAUGUGGUUUAAUUCGAUGAUACGCGAGGAACCUUACCCGGGCUUGAAAGUUAGUGAAGUAUCCAGAGAUGGAUGCGUCCUUCGGGACCCGAAACUAGGUGCUGCAUGGCUGUCGUCAGCUCGUGCCGUGAGGUGUUGGGUUAAGUCCCGCAACGAGCGCAACCCCUAUGUCUAGUUGCCAGCAUGUAAUGGUGGGGACUCUAGACAGACUGCCUGUGCAAACAGAGAGGAAGGAGGGGACGACGUCAAGUCAUCAUGGCCCUUACGUCCGGGGCUACACACGUGCUACAAUGGACGGUACAGAGGGCAGCUAGACAGCAAUGUCAUGCCAAUCUCAAAAAGCCGUUCACAGUUCGGAUCGGGGUCUGCAACUCGACCCCGUGAAGUUGGAUUCGCUAGUAAUCGCGUAUCAGCAAUGACGCGGUGAAUACGUUCCCGGGCCUUGUACACACCGCCCGUCAAGCCAUGGAAGUUGGGGGUACCUAAAGUACGUAACCGCA